GGGAAUUUUCCGCAAUGGGCGAAAGCCUGACGGAGCAACGCCGCGUGAGGGAAGAAGGCCUCUGGGCUGUAAACCUCUUUUCUCAAGGAAGAAGAUCUGACGGUACUUGAGGAAUAAGCCACGGCUAAUUCCGUGCCAGCAGCCGCGGUAAUACGGGAGUGGCAAGCGUUAUCCGGAAUUAUUGGGCGUAAAGCGUCCGCAGGCGGCCUUUCAAGUCUGCUGUUAAAGCGUGGAGCUUAACUCCAUUAAGGCAGUGGAAACUGUUGGGCUUGAGUGUGGUAGGGGCAGAGGGAAUUCCCGGUGUAGCGGUGAAAUGCGUAGAUAUCGGGAAGAACACCAGUGGCGAAGGCGCUCUGCUGGGCCAUAACUGACGCUCAUGGGCGAAAGCCAGGGGAGCGAAAGGGAUUAGAUACCCCUGUAGUCA
rnacentral:rRNA from 1 species